rnacentral:rRNA from 1 species
GAUGAACGCUGGCGGCGUGCUUAACACAUGCAAGUCGAACGGAGCCACUAUGAAGGAGUUUUCGGACAACGGAGUAGUGUGCUUAGUGGCGAACGGGUGAGUAACGCGUGAGUAACCUGCCUUGGAGUGGGGAAUAACACAUGGAAACGUGUGCUAAUACCGCAUGAUGCAACGGGAUCGCAUGGUUCUGUUGCCAAAGAUUUAUCGCUCUGAGAUGGACUCGCGUCUGAUUAGCUAGUUGGUGGGGUAAAGGCCCACCAAGGCGACGAUCAGUAGCCGGACUGAGAGGUUGACCGGCCACAUUGGGACUGAGACACGGCCCAGACUCCUACGGGAGGCAGCAGUGGGGAAUAUUGGGCAAUGGGCGCAAGCCUGACCCAGCAACGCCGCGUGAAGGAAGAAGGCUUUCGGGUUGUAAACUUCUUUUAUGCGGGACGAAGAAAAUGACGGUACCUCAUGAAUAAGCCACGGCUAACUACGUGUCAACAGCCGCCGUAACAC